rnacentral:rRNA from 1 species
UACGUAGGGUGCGAGCGUUGUCCGGAAUUAUUGGGCGUAAAGAGCUUGUAGGCGGUUUGUCGCGUCUGCCGUGAAAAUCCGGGGCUCAACCCCGGACUUGCGGUGGGUACGGGCAGACUAGAGUGUGGUAGGGGAGACUGGAAUUCCUGGUGUAGCGGUGAAAUGCGCAGAUAUCAGGAGGAACACCGAUGGCGAAGGCAGGUCUCUGGGCCACUACUGACACUGAGAAGCGAAAGCGUGGGGAGCGAACAGG